GAUGAACGCUGGCGGCGUGCCUAAUACAUGCAAGUCGAGCGAAUGGAUUAAGAGCUUGCUCUUAUGAAGUUAGCGGCGGACGGGUGAGUAACACGUGGGUAACCUGCCCAUAAGACUGGGAUAACUCCGGGAAACCGGGGCUAAUACCGGAUAACAUUUUGAACCGCAUGGUUCGAAAUUGAAAGGCGGCUUCGGCUGUCACUUAUGGAUGGACCCGCGUCGCAUUAGCUAGUUGGUGAGGUAACGGCUCACCAAGGCAACGAUGCGUAGCCGACCGGAGAGGGGGAUCGGCCACACUGGGACUGAGACACGGCCCAGACUCCUACGGGAGGUAGCAGUAGGGAAUCUUCCGCAAUGGACGAAAGUCUGACGGAGCAACGCCGCGUGAGUGAUGAAGGCUUUCGGGUCGUAAAACUCUGUUGUUAGGGAGGAACAAGUGCUAGUUGAAUAAGCUGGCACCUUGACGGUACCUAACCAGAAAGCCACGGCUAACUACGUGCCAGCAGCCGCCGUAA
rnacentral:rRNA from 1 species